CCGUGGCGCCAUGUGCUGGUAAAAGGCCCAGUCAGACUCUUGUAACCCGGCUCACGUGUCAAACGCUGAUAGGUCGCGUGUGCAGGACCGCAGCUAUAAAAUGCAAGGGGCUUCACCAACCCUAAAACCAUCCCAUCCAUCGCACCCUCCCUCUUCAUCCGGCCGCCGCAACAAUUCCUCUUUCUCAUCGCACUUUUUUUUGCUUUGUGUUUUAUUUAUGCUGCUUAGUUUGUGGAAUUCAGAUCGAUUCUGUUUGUUUUGUUGAUCCAUCUAUCAACUUGAUGGAUAUUUAUCUCUUUUGAUUCUGAUGUUAGUUAUAGAUCGGGAUGUAUUUGGGCUCUAUAUCAUGAGUCAACAGCAGGCGCCGUUCAAUGGCGUCCUGUCUGCCGCAUGGAGCCUAGAUUGAUAGCCAGGAGAAGAUUGUUUGGAGAUCCAUCUUCUUUUAAUUCCAAGCCACAAUAUCUGGCGAUACUUUGCUUCAUUCGUUUGCAUCUUGUUCCAUCGUUGAUUGAAAGGUUGUGACUUUUUUAGAUUUGUUUUGAGACGGCUCAGACGAACGGGUGCUCGGUUGUAUCCAUGGACGAGUUGCCCUUUGCACAAAGUGCCGAGAGAGACGGACGGCCGCUUCACGAUUGGAUGGGCGCGUCGUGUGCUCUUGCCCCAUCCAAAUUUAAAGCGGGCAUACUUCCCCCAAUCGAUCUCUGAUUUAAGUUUUUCUUCAUUUUGUUUGAUUUUUCGUCCAUCUUCUUUCUACAUCACGUUACGUCCGUAAUUCGUCAGAUCUACCAUCUUAAACUGUUCAAAAAAAAUCUGGUGGCACGUUCUGACGUAGGAGGAACUUAGUUAAAUGGACUACCAGCACUUCUCAGACAUCGCAACGGACAAGGCUGGGCGGUGUUUAGCCCUUUCUCCGGUUGCAAUUGACAAUUGAUAUGCAGGCCAGCGGCGGGUGGGUUACCUAAUGUGCAGGCCAGCGGUGGGCGUGAGGUAGUCGGAGACUCCUUCUCUGGCAACGUCGUCUCGGCAUCCCACACGGCGCGGUCCUCGCGGGACUGCACCAACCCGUCGCCGGCAGUCCUGCUCGUCGUGGCCUCGUGGCUGUGGCUGCUCCUGUCGGCCAGCGGCGCGCUGGCGGACGGCGGCAACGGCAGUGCGUGCCGCCGUGCCCUGUCCCUGGGACGCCGACGCCGACGACGUCGCCGACGGAGUUCCCAUUCUGCCCGCAGCGGCCGCCGGCGGUCGGGCCCUUCCCCUGCGCAGCGAGCCGGAGAUCCCCGCCACCCUGAGGAAGGUGGAGCAGCCGCGCUUCAGAUCCAGCCGCCGGAGAUCCCCGCCACCCUGAGGAAGGUGGAGCAGCCGCGCUUCAGAUCCAGCCGCCGGAGUGAAAAUGAAAUCUUGAAGAGGGAGAGGCGACGGCGUAUGGCAACAUGGAAAGGCGGCGACGACGCGAGAGGGAGAGGCGGAGGCGCUGCGUGCGGGGUAGAGGCGCCGGCGACGCGUGCGACGGAGAGGCGCCGGUGGCGGUGAGCUAGGGGUUCGGGAGCCAGCGAGCGAGUGGCUGAGCUGAGCGAGCAAGAGAGUGGGAGGGUAGUUUCGGAAACGACAGAAAUGUCGUAACGCGGCGGAAAUUGCACUAGAAACUCCCAACGACAAUUAUUUCGAAACGGAGGGAGUACUAAAUAAGUUUGUAACUUGGUCAAUUUUCAUCUCAUCGAAAUGUAUUUAUAUCGUCA